rnacentral:rRNA from 1 species
UACGUAGGGUGCGAGCGUUAAUCGGAAUUACUGGGCGUAAAGCGUGCGCAGGCGGUUCGUUGUGUCGGCGGUGAAAGCCCCGGGCUUAACCUGGGAAUGGCCGUUGAAACUGGCGAACUGGAGUGUGGCAGAGGGGGGGUAGAAUUCCACGUGUAGCAGUGAAAUGCGUAGAGAUGUGGAGGAAUACCGAUGGCGAAGGCAGCCCCCUGGGCCAACACUGACGCUCAUGCACGAAAGCGUGGGGAGCAAACAGG